CCGAUUGAGCUUAGAAAAAAUCAGACAUCCUUCUUCCUUGAUCAGUCGCAGCGGCGUGGUUGUAGACGAUUGCAACCGCCUCCGUCGUGUUGAAUGUGCCGAGCCAGCGCUGCUCCUUAGUGUUAGGUCCCGGAUCUCCGCUGCCUACCGGCCCUACGGUGCCGCUCUUCCUCCAUGAACAGAGCCUUGACGAGCACCAAAUGCAGCACCACGGGGAGGUUGCGCGGCGGCCGUGGCGAGCGUUCGCAUCAGAUGUGUUUUGACAGGUACAAGCCCGUGGAGUCCUGCGGCAGCCUCCUCGUCCUCCACCGUAGUGCCCCCUGUUCACGGAGCGUGCCGGCCUCUGCAUCUACGAUCCCAUGACGCCGCGUCUUCCUUCCACCCUUGGAGGCUUCUCGGCGACGAAGGCGGCACCGGUGGCUGCGUCGGACGGUUGUCCCGCUGGCUGGUCGUCGUGGAUCUGAGCGGGCUCCGUCUCCUCCGCGUGAUGCUCGACGUAGUAGCGAACCGGAGCAGUAGAAGUUUGCGCCUACUGACGGCUCCAUGUUGCGAUAGGUACCUCCUGAUGUUGCAGUAGAGAUUUUUGGAUGUUGCAACAGUUGGCUUUUGAUGUUUCAUCUGUUUGCAACAGUCCGAUUUGCUAGCAAUUAGGUGUUGCACCAACUUGUUCACGAUGUUGCAUAUGGUUAUUUUCUUUGUUUCGGCCUCUUCUUCUUUUGUUGUUGCAAUGCUGUAAGAGAUGUUUUUUGUUGUUGCAAUACUGUAAGAGGU
rnacentral:lncRNA from 1 species